rnacentral:rRNA from 1 species
UACGAAGGGAGCUAGCGUUGUUCGGAAUCACUGGGCGUAAAGCGCACGUAGGCGGAUUUGUCAGUCAGGGGUGAAAUCCCGGGGCUCAACCUCGGAACUGCCUUUGAUACAGCAAGUCUUGAGUUCGAGAGAGGUGGGUGGAAUUCCUAGUGUAGAGGUGAAAUUCGUAGAUAUUAGGAAGAACACCAAUUGCGAAGGCAGCUCGCUGGGACGUUACUGACGCUGAGACGCGAAAGCGUGGGGAGCAAACAGG